CAGUAGCCACGGUAAUACGGAGGGUGCAAGCGUUAAUCGGAAUUACUGGGCGUAAAGCGCACGCAGGCGGUCUGACAAGUCAGAUGUGAAAUCCCCGGGCUUAACCUGGGAACUGCAUUUGAAACUGUCAGGCUGGAGUCUUGUAGAGGGGGGUGGAAUUCCAGGUGUAGCGGUGAAAUGCGUAGAGAUCUGGAGGAAUACCGGUGGCGAAGGCGGCCCCCUGGACAAAGACUGACGCUCAGGUGCGAAAGCGUGGGGAGCAAACAGGAUUAGAUACCCCUGUAGUCCCUGUCUCUUAUAC
rnacentral:rRNA from 1 species